CAGGUGCUAAUACCGCAUAAGCGCACAGGGCCGCAUGGCCCGGUGUGAAAAACUCCGGUGGUGUAAGAUGGACCCGCGUCUGAUUAGCUUGUUGGCGGGGUAGGGGCCCACCAAGGCGACGAUCAGUAGCCGGCCUGAGAGGGUGGACGGCCACAUUGGGACUGAGACACGGCCCAAACUCCUACGGGAGGCAGCAGUGGGGGGUAUUGGACAAUGGGGGAAACCCUGAUCCAGCGACGCCGCGUGAGUGAAGAAGUAUUUCGGUAUGUAAAGCUCUGUCAGCAGGGAAGAAAGAAAUGACGGUACCUGACCAAGAAGCCCCGGCUAACUACGUGCCAGCAGCCGCGGUAAUACGUAGGGGGCAAGCGUUAUCCGGAAUUACUGGGUGUAAAGGGAGCGUAAACGGUGAUGCAAGCCUGGAGUGAAAGGCGGGGGCCCAACCCCCGGACUGCUCUGGAAACUGUGUAACUUGUGUGCAGGAGAGGUAAGCGGAAUUCCUAGUGUAGCGGUGAAAUGCGUAGAUAUUAGGAGGAACACCAGUGGCGAAGGCGGCUUACUGGACUGUAACUGACGUUGAGGCUCGAAAGCGUGG
rnacentral:rRNA from 1 species